rnacentral:rRNA from 1 species
UACGUAGGGUGCGAGCGUUGUCCGGAAUUAUUGGGCGUAAAGGGCUCGUAGGCGGUUUGUCGCGUCGGGAGUGAAAUCCAGGUGCUUAACACCUGGCUUGCUUUCGAUACGGGCAGACUAGAGGCAUGCAGGGGAGAACGGAAUUCCUGGUGUAGCGGUGAAAUGCGCAGAUAUCAGGAGGAACACCGGUGGCGAAGGCGGUUCUCUGGGCAUGUCCUGACGCUGAGGAGCGAAAGUGUGGGGAG